UCGAAUCAACUUGAUCAAAUC
rnacentral:piRNA from 1 species